GACGGAGGAUGCAAGCGUUAUCCGGAAUGAUUGGGCGUAAAGCGUCCGCAGGUGGCAGUUCAAGUCUGCUGUCAAAGACCGGGGCUUAACUUCGGAAAGGCAGUGGAAACUGAACAGCUAGAGUAUGGUAGGGGCAGAGGGAAUUCCUGGUGUAGCGGUGAAAUGCGUGGAGAUCAGGAAGAACAUCGGUGGCGAAGGCGCUCUGCUGGACCAUAACUGACACUCAGGGACGAAAGCUAGGGGAGCGAAUGGG
rnacentral:rRNA from 1 species